AUGAUGUCCUUCCCUUCGAAGGACACAAAUUCACAAACAUUAUUUAAGUGGCCUUGGAGAAGAGAAUCACCAUUAUCAGCACAACUGCUCAUUGAUAUUCCACCUGAAAUUGAGUUGUCAGACUACCGAAGAUUGCCAAGUUCUGGAAGUGAGAGCCCGUCUGGACUUCUCCAUGGUGAAGGCGUCAAGGAAGAACCGAUCCCUGACCUGGAUAUUUUCUUCGAAAGGCUUUAUGAAUAUUUCUGCGCAAAAGGACUGAGGUGUAUUGUUACCAAAUGGAUAAUCGAGAUCCUGAAUGUACUGUUUACGGUGUGCUGUAUUGGCUUCUUCUUUUUAUAUGUUGAUUGGAAUGCCAUUGGCCACUUGAAAUGUGGUGUGGAGGCACUUGAGUCUGGAGAAAAACCAUGUGAUCUGAUGGCAGCCAUCAAGCAUAAUCCAUUAGUACCCUUUACAUUUCCUAAAAUGGUCACUGUUGGAUCAAUGAUUAUAUUGGUAACAUAUGGACUUAUCAACUUCCUCAAGUUCUUUGUACAACUGAAAAGUACACUGAAUGCACGUGACUUCUACUAUAAUAGCCUUAAGAUUACAGAUCUUGAGAUCCAGACGAUAUCAUGGCCCAGAAUAAUCGAGAAGGUUGUCCUGCUACAAAAGUCUAAAAAACUCUGUGUUGUUAGGGAUCUCUCGGAGCAUGAUAUUAUCAUGAGAAUAAUGAGGAAAGAAAAUUACUUGAUAGGGAUGGUGAAUAAAGGCAUUAUCUCAUUUCCAAUUCGUCCUUGGCUUCCUGGUGCUGGCCCAACUGUCAAAUCUCAUGUACAUGACAGGAGAAAUCAUGUGAUACUUCCAAAAGCCCUAGAAUGGACCUUAAAUUGGUGCAUCUUCCAGAGUAUGUUUGACAGUAAAUUCUGCGUUCGAAAAGAUUUUCUAGCAAGCCCAGCUGCAUUGAAAAAACGACUUGUAUUUGUUGGCAUUGCAAUGUUGAUCCUGUCGCCCUGCCUUGUAAUUUUCCCAUUGGUGUACCUCAUUCUGAGGCAUGCUGAAGAAAUUUAUAAUCAUCCCAGUACAGCAUCAUCCAGAAGAUGGUCAAAUUUAUCAAGGUGGAUUUUCAGGGAGUAUAAUGAGGUAGACCAUUUCUUCAGACAUAGAAUGAACAACAGUGCUGUGCAUUCGUUGAAUUACUUGAAGCAAUUUCCUACGCCACUAAUUUCUAUCAUAGCAAAAUUUGUAUCUUUUGUUUCUGGUGGUUUGGCUGGUGCUCUUAUAAUUAUGGGAUUUCUGGGCGAAUCCAUCCUUGAGGGUCAUAUUUUCGGAAGGAACCUAUUCUGGUAUACUAUUGUUUUUGGAACAAUAGCAGCUAUAAGUCGAAAAGUAGUGGCUGAUGAGCUUCAAGUAAUUGACCCAGAAGGUGCUAUGUGCCUCGUUGUCCAGCAAACCCAUUACAUGCCGAAGCGGUGGCGUGGUAAAGAGAGCAAUGAGCUGGUUCGGAAAGAAUUUGAAACACUAUUUCAGUAUACCAUAGUAAUGCUAUUAGAAGAGAUGGCGUCCAUUUUCAUCACUCCUUACUUGCUCAUUUUUGAGGUACCAAAGCGUGUUGAUGACAUUCUGCACUUCAUAUCGGACUUCACAAUUUAUGUAGAUGGAGUGGGAGAUGUAUGCAGUUUAAGCAUGUUUGACUUCAGAAGACACGGCAAUAGAAACUAUGGUUCUCCAUUUGAUGCACCUAAAAACCUGAGGAGCUCCCAAGGGAAAAUGGAGAAAUCAUUCUUAAGUUUUCAGAGUGUUUAUCCAUCAUUGGCAUCAAAUGCAGAGGGCAAACAAUUCUUACAUAACCUACAGAAGUUCAAGGAAAGACAAAUACGUCAACAAGCUGUUGCGCAGUAUCAGGCAAUGGAAGCAUCAGGCUUUGUGGAUAGCACAGGUCAAAGGGAUGAUAUCUUCCAUCAACUACUCCCAAGUAUUAUCCGUAACCAUGCAGAGGCCUUCCCACCUGCUGGUUAUAACUUAGAUCCCUUGGGAUUGCUGGACUCAGAUCAAAGAAUUCAUCCAUAUAUUCUGGAUUGGUAUUACAUGCGUCAUUCACCACACUUGGAUAGAGUUGAAGCUCCCCAUUUUGACGAAGCAUCCCUUGAGGCUGGUCAGAACGCAAGUCAGCUAGCAAGGGAAACAUCUGAGAUUGAAGAAGAUGAAGAUUAUUACUCUGAUCUGUACGGAAGGGUUCAGAGUCAUAUGGGAGCAUCUACAUCAAGCACUUUGUUCCGGCAUGCUCCUACAAAGCACAACGGUAACGAAGACAGUUCCACAGGCAACUGGUGGAACCAGGCCCCUGCAUCUUCCCAUGAUCCGCAAGGCAGUUUUCUCGAGCCUCCAGCAUUUGGAUAUCAUAAUAUGGCAGACAAAAGUCAUUCCAGCCAUCACAGUGAUGAUAUAUCAGAGGGAAGCGAGGGAGAUCUGGAGCAGGGCGACAACAGAAGCAGCAGCACCAGGAGCUGGAGAAAUCCCCAAGCCUUGUCCAAGACGAGGUAUAUGGACGACUCCUACAUCGAGGAUGGGCUGGGUCUUCAUUUCACCGAUGAACGACCUGGAGUAGCAGCUGAUGCGUAUGACAGCAUGCCGGCUGGCCUUCCCGUAAGGAUAAUACCUCGAAGCAGUGACCCAGUGUAG
rnacentral:rRNA from 1 species